rnacentral:rRNA from 1 species
GGCUCAGUAGGUUGGUCGUGCCACCGGUACGUACUGGUCUCACUGAUUCCUCCUUCCUGAAGAACCGUAAUGCCAUUAAUUUGGUGUUGCGGGGAAACAGGACUGUUACUUUGAAAAAAUUAGAGUGUUUAAAGCAAGCUAACGCUUGAAUUCAUUAGCAUGGAAUAAUGAAAUAGGACGAUCGAUCCUAUUUUGUUGGUUUCUAGGAUUGACGUA